rnacentral:rRNA from 1 species
GUGGGGAAUUUUGGACAAUGGGCGCAAGCCUGAUCCAGCAAUGCCGCGUGCAGGAAGAAGGCCUUCGGGUUGUAAACUGCUUUUGUACGGAACGAAACGGUCCUGGUUAAUACCCGGGGCUAAUGACGGUACCGUAAGAAUAAGCACCGGCUAACUACGUGCCAGCAGCCGCGGUAAUACGUAGGGUGCAAGCGUUAAUCGGAAUUACUGGGCGUAAAGCGUGCGCAGGCGGUGCUGUCAGACAGGCGUGAAAUCCCCGGGCUUAACCUGGGAAUUGCGCUUGUGACUGCAGUGCUGGAGUGCGGCAGAGGGGGAUGGAAUUCCGCGUGUAGCAGUGAAAUGCGUAGAUAUGCGGAGGAACACCGAUGGCGAAGGCAAUCCCCUGGGCCUGCACUGACGCUCAUGCACGAAAGCGUGGGGAGCAAACAGGAUUAGAAACCCUGGUAGUCC